GACGAACGCUGGCGGCGCGCCUAACACAUGCAAGUCGAACGGAGCUUAGAGAGCUUGCUUUUUAAGCUUAGUGGCGAACGGGUGAGUAACGCGUGAGUAACCUGCCCUAGAGUGGGGGACAACAGUUGGAAACGACUGCUAAUACCGCAUAAGCCCACGGUACCGCAUGGUACUGAGGGAAAAGGAUUUAUUCGCUUUAGGAUGGACUCGCGUCCAAUUAGCUAGUUGGUGAGGUAACGGCCCACCAAGGCGACGAUUGGUAGCCGGACUGAGAGGUUGAACGGCCACAUUGGGACUGAGACACGGCCCAGACUCCUACGGGAGGCAGCAGUGGGGGAUAUUGCACAAUGGGGGAAACCCUGAUGCAGCGACGCCGCGUGGAGGAAGAAGGUUUUCGGAUUGUAAACUCCUGUCGUUAGGGACGAUAAUGACGGUACCUAACAAGAAAGCACCGGCUAACUACGUGCCAGCAGCCGCGGUAAAACGUAGGGUGCAAGCGUUGUCCGGAAUUACUGGGUGUAAAGGGAGCGCAGGCGGGAAGACAAGUUGGAAGUGAAAACCAUGGGCUCAACCCAUGAAUUGCUUUCAAAACUGUUUUUCUUGAGUAGUGCAGAGGUAGAUGGAAUUCCCGGUGUAGCGGUGGAAUGCGUAGAUAUCGGGAGGAACACCAGUGGCGAAGGCGGUCUACUGGGCACCAACUGACGCUGAGGCUCGAAAGCAUGGGUAGCAAACAGGAUUAGAUACCCUGGUAGUCCAUGCCGUAAACGAUGAUUACUAGGUGGUUGGGGGAUUGACCCCCUCAGUGCCGCAGUUAACACAAUAAGUAAUCCACCUGGGGAGUACGACCGCAAGGUUGAAACUCAAAGGAAUUGACGGGGGCCCGCACAAGCAGUGGAGUAUGUGGUUUAAUUCGAAGCAACGCGAAGAACCUUACCAGGUCUUGACAUCCGAUGCACAGCACAGAGAUGUGUGAAAUCCUUCGGGACAUCGAGACAGGUGGUGCAUGGUUGUCGUCAGCUCGUGUCGUGAGAUGUUGGGUUAAGUCCCGCAACGAGCGCAACCCUUAUUGCCAGUUACUACGUUAAGAGGACUCUGGCGAGACUGCCGUUGACAAAACGGAGGAAGGUGGGGAUGACGUCAAAUCAUCAUGCCCUUUAUGACCUGGGCUACACACGUACUACAAUGGCGUUAAACAAAGAGAAGCAAGACCGCGAGGUGGAGCAAAACUCAAAAACAACGUCUCAGUUCAGAUUGCAGGCUGCAACUCGCCUGCAUGAAGUCGGAAUUGAAAGUAAUCGCGGAUCAGCAUGCCGCGGUGAAUAC
rnacentral:rRNA from 1 species